rnacentral:rRNA from 1 species
GUCUACAGCCAUACCAUUCUGAUCAUACUCAAUCUCACUGAUUUUAGAAGCUAAACAGUCAGGCCUGGUUAGUACUUGCAUGGAUACCACCUAGGAAAAUUGGAUGCUGUAAUUU